rnacentral:rRNA from 1 species
CCUACGGGAGGCAGCAGUGGGGAAUAUUGCGCAAUGGGCGAAAGCCUGACGCAGCGACGCCGCGUGAGGGAUGAAGGUCUUCGGAUCUUAAACCUCUGUCAGCCGGGCAGCACAGUCACUGUGCUAAUCAGCAGUGAAAUGACGGUACAUGCAAAGGACGCACCGGCUAACUCCGUGCCAGCAGCCGCGGUAAUACGGAGGGUGCGAGCGUUAUCCGGAUUUAUUGGGUUUAAAGGGUGCGCAGGCGGGGGUGCAAGUCAGCGGUAAAAUUGCGGGGCUCAACCCCGUACUGCCGUUGAAACUGCAUCCCUUGAGUGCGCGAGAAGUAUGCGGAAUGCGUGGUGUAGCGGUGAAAUGCAUAGAUAUCACGCAGAACUCCGAUUGCGAAGGCAGCAUACCGGCGCGCAACUGACGCUCAUGCACGAAAGCGUGGGUAUCGAACAGGAUUAGAUACCCGUGUAGUC